rnacentral:tRNA from 3 species
UGGGGAUUAGCCAAGCGGUAAGGCAGUGGGUUCUGGUCCCAUGAUCGGGGGUUCGAAUCCCUCAUCCCCAGCCA